UUGCCCUUAUUUAGGGCAAAGGGAGACUGUCAGGAAGGCAGGAUCCUGAAAACCAGGAGGAGACAGCCGGCCCUGGAAGAUGGCACGUAGCCUCCUUCACCUGUAAAACAAGAUUCCUACAAGGUUAUGGAUAACCUUUUGGUCUUAUGGGCAUCCUAGAAAGGAUACUUUGUUUUGGAAAAUAACAACUUCCUUAUUGCCAAGCCCCUCACCCCAACCCUAUAAUCGGUUUCAGCCAGCUCCCUCUACCCUCUGUAGACCCCUCAAUUUCCUGUGGGAGAGAGGCUGCCUCUUGCUAAGUGCACUAAUAAAUAUAGUGUGUCUUAACUGUUGAAA